rnacentral:rRNA from 1 species
UACGUAGGGGGCAAGCGUUGUCCGGAUUUAUUGGGCGUAAAGAGCGUGUAGGCGGCCAGAUAGGUCAGCUGUGAAAACUCGAGGCUCAACCUCGAGGUGUCGGCUGAAACCAUCUGGCUAGAGUCCGGAAGAGGAGAAUGGAAUUCCCGGUGUAGCGGUGAAAUGCGCAGAUAUCGGGAAGAACACCCGUGGCGAAGGCGGUUCUCUGGGACGGUACUGACGCUGAGACGCGAAAGCGUGGGGAGCGAACAGG